AGUCCUGUAGCUCAGUGGUUAGAGCACUCGCCCUCCAAGCGAGAGGGCUUGGGUUCAAUUCCCGGGCAGGGCGA